AUUGAACGCUGGCGGCAGGCUUAACACAUGCAAGUCGAACGAGUGGCGGACGGGUGAGUAAUGCUUGGGAAUCUAGCUUAUGGAGGGGGAUAACUACGGGAAACUGUAGCUAAUCCCGCUUACCAUAGGAUGAGCCCAAGUGGGAUUAGGUAGUUGGGGAGGUAAAGGCUCACCAAGCCGACGAUCUAUAGCUGGUAUGAGAGGAUGACAAGCCACACGGGGACUGAGACACGCACCAGACUCCUACGGGAGGAAGCAGUGGGGAAUAGUGCGCAAUGGUGGAAACCUGACGAAGCCAUGCCGCGUGAAUGAAGAAGGCUUUCGGGUUGUAAAGUUCUUUCGGUAGCGAGGCGUUAACUACAGAAGAAGCACCGGCUAACUCCGUGCCAGCAGCCGCGGUAAUAC
rnacentral:rRNA from 1 species